rnacentral:lncRNA from 1 species
CAAAUUAGUAAUUACAAUAAUUCUAGGGAAUAUCCUGUGGAUAAUGCCUACAAAAUCCAUAAAAUAAAGAUCACCCCAAAACAUAAAACAAAUAAAUAAAACAAAUAGAAAAAUAGAAAUAAAACUACCUAAUUUCUUUUCCUUUUUCUUCCUUUUGUUUUUUUUCCUUUUCCUGCUUUCUUCACCUACGGUCGAGCGGCUUCGGUGGGUCACCGGAGGUUGGGUCUUCGGCGUUCAGAGCUCCGGCAAGGGCGGCAGCAGGCACAGCUGGUCACGGGUCGGGCGAGACAGGGGCGGCACGGGCGAAGGAGACAGCCGGCGUCGGAGUACGUUGGAGCAGCAACGUGGGCAGCCGGCGUCGGAGUAUUGGCGCGGACUGGGCGGCAGCAGCAACAGGGAGGCGCGGCGUCGGUGGCCGGCGAACAGCGGGGUUGCGGGUCGCAGCGGUGUUGUCCCACGGGUGUGUAGCGGCUCGGCGUUCAGUUCCGGCGUCGUGGGUCAGCAAGCAGAGCAGCAACGGCGACGGGGCACGGGCUGAGGCGCGGCGGCGGAGCUGCGGACGUCGUAGCUGAGGUCACCGGAGAGGGGUUUCGAAUGGAGGCUAGCAGACGCGGCGACAGCGCUGGGUCAUGGGCUACUGGCUGCUGGGCGGCGACAGCAAGGCGGCGACAGCAAGGCGGUGCUUGGGCUUCUAGUUGCAGGCGAGGCAGAUCCGGUGGUAGCAGCAGCGUCGCAGGGGCUCACAGGCGGGGCACAGCGAUGCUGGUGCGGCGGUAGCGACCGGGAGACUCGGGAUCUGCAGGUGGGUCGCUCGGGCGUGAGGCGGAACAGGGCUGCUGGGGCGCGGUGACAGGUAGCAAUCGGCAAGGUCAGGAGCGGCGGGCUUCGUCGGAGCUCCGGCGUCGGGGUACGUUGGAACAGCAACGUGGGCAGCAAGUUGGGAAGACGAUGAACAGUAGGAGUCAAAUUACCUUUUUACUUUUACCUUUUCCCCUCUCUCUCUCUCUUUCUCUCUCUCUCUCACUCUCCUGCUGACCUUUUUUUG